rnacentral:tRNA from 1 species
GGGGUUGUGGCUCAGUGGUAGAGUGCUUGCCUAGCAUGCGUGAGGCACUGGGUUCGAUCCCUGGCACCACCA